rnacentral:rRNA from 1 species
AUGAAGUUUGAUUCCUGGCUCAGGUAUGAACGCUAGCGGGAGCGCCUAACACAUGCAAGUCGAACGGUGAUUGGGAGCUUGCUCCCAUGAGAGUGGCGCACGGGUGAGUAACGCGUAUGCAACCUGCCUUUAACUGAGGGAUAGCCCAUAGAAAUGUGGAUUAAUACCUCAUAGUUCUGAGAGAUCGCAUGAUUUUUCAGAUAAAGCUCCGGCGGUUAAAGAUGGGCAUGCGUGACAUUAGCUAGUUGGUGAGGUAACGGCUCACCAAGGCUACGAUGUCUAGUAUUUCUGAGAGGAUGAUCCCCCACACUGGUACUGAGACACGGACCAGACUCCUACGGGAGGCAGCAGUGAGGAAUAUUGGUCAAUGGGCGCAAGCCUGAACCAGCCAUCCCGCGUGAAGGAUGAAGGUCCUAUGGAUUGUAAACUUCUUUUAUACACCAAGAAUUACUCGAACGUGUUCGAGCCCGACGGUAGUGUAUGAAUAAGCAUCGGCUAACUCCGUGCCAGCAGCCGCGGUAAUACGGAGGAUGCAAGCGUUAUCCGGAUUCAUUGGACUUAAAGUGUGCGUAGGCGGCUCUUUAAGUCAGUGGCGAAAUCCUGCCGCUUAACGGUAGAAUUGCCAUUGAUACUGAAGAGCUUGAGUACAGUUGAGGUAAGCGGAAUGUGUAGUGUAGCGGUGAAAUGCUUAGAUAUUACACAGAGUCCCGAUUGCGAAGGCAGCUUACUAAACUGUUACUGACGCUGAUGCACGAAAGCGUGACGAGCGAACAGGAUUAGAUACCCUGGUAGUCCACGCCGUAAACGAUGCUCACUCGCUGUUUGCGAUACACAGCAAGCGGCCAAGCGAAAGCAUUAAGUGAGCCACCUGGACUGUACGAUCGCAAGGUUGAAACUCAAAGGAAUUGACGGGGGCCCGCACAAGCGGAGGAACAUGUGGUUUAAUUCGAUGAUACGCGAGGAGAGUUACCUGGGCUUAAAUGUAGAGCGACAGCUUGCUCAAGCAGGCUUUCUUCGAUCGAUCUACAAGCGUGCUAUAUGGCUUGUCGUCAGCUCGUGCUCGUGAGGUGUCGGCGUUAAGUCCCAUAACGAGCGCAACGCCUUAUCGUUAGUUGCCAGCGGGUCAUGCCGGGGACUCUAGCGAGACUGCCACCGUAAGGUGUGAGGAAGAGCGGGAUGACGUCAAAUCAGCACGGCCCUUAUGUCCAGGGCUACACACGUGUUACAAUGGCCGAUACAAAGGGCAGCUACCAGGUGACUGGAUGCUAAUCUCUAAAGUCGGUCUCAGUUCGGAUCGAAGUCACCAACCCGACUUCGUGAAGCUGGAUUCGCUAGUAAUCGCAUAUCAGCCAUGAUGCGGUGAAUACGUUCAUGUGCCUUGUACACACCGCCCGUCAAACAAUGGAAGCUGGGGGUACCUGAAGUCUGUAACCGCAAGGAGCGGCCUAGGGUAAAACUAGGCACUGGUGUUAAGUGGUAACCUGGUAACC